rnacentral:tRNA from 1 species
GGAGCGUAAGCCGCAAGGUGCGGCAGCGGACUGUAAAUCCGUGUCCCGUAAUGGGAAGAGAGGUUCGAUUCCUCUACGCUCCACCA